AGGGACAGGAGCACACACCAUGAUUACACACAUCCAGCUGAUCUGGCCCCUGGCAUUCUGUGUCGCAGGUAUCAAUGGGGAGAUUAUCAUGACCCAGUCUCCCCCGGUGCUGUCAGUGGAACUGGGCCAGACUGCAACCAUCACCUGUACGGCCAGUCAAAGCAUUAGCAGCUACCUCAGUUGGUACCAGCAGCGAGAAGGUCAGAAACCCUCUCUCCUGAUCUAUGCUGCAACAUCUCGAUUCACAGGAGUCUCCGAGCGAUUCACCGGCAGUGGAUCAGGGACCAGUUACACCCUGACAAUCAGCAACGUUCAGAGUGAGGAUGUCGCUGACUAUUACUGUCAGCAGGAUUACAGCUGGUAUAGCAGCUCCCCUCUGCACUGGGAACUCUCACUGUGGGACACGUUCGGUAAAGGAACCAAGCUCAGACUGAGCCGUGAGAACUCUCAGCCCAAGCUGACCCUGCUGCCCCCCUCCCCGGAGCAGGUCAAUGCCAAGGGCACUGCCACUCUGGUGUGCCUUGCCAAUCACUUCUAUCCCGAUGAGCUGGAGGUGCAGUGGAAGAAGGACGGUGCAGUCAUUUCAGACGGGGUUCAGACCAGCAACUACCUGCGAGCUUCGGACAGCACCUACAGUGUCAGCAGCCUGCUGACCCUCUCUGGGUCUGACUGGGAGUCCAAUGCUCGCUUCUCCUGUGCCCUCACCCAUGUGACCCUCCCGUCUCCCCUCAGCAAGAGCAUCAGGAGAUCAGAAUGUGUGUAGAGUGUGUGAGACAGUCCACAGAGGAGACACAACUUUAAAUAGAACAGGGUUGAGCUGGCAGGUCAAAGGUCAUUGCCAGCACAGAAUUUCAACUCUCUUCCUUCUCAGGAUUGCUCAGAGAAACUUCUGAGGUUUGGAUGUUAAAGCAGGUCAUCGCGACAGUGUCAAGAGAGCUUUACGCUGUGUCAAACCCCAUGCUGUACCUUGUCCUGGGAAUGUUUGAUGGGGACAGGAUUGCCUUUUUAUGUUAGCUGCACGAAACAAUGUGAACCUCAGAAGUCUCUGCUUCAGUAAACCAGAUCUCCUUCCUGCUCAGCUGCCAGUUCCAGUUUAAGGUUUUGUCACUGUUUAAAGGGACAGGAUUCUCAUGUUAUUGAGAAAAUCUCUCCAAGUGUUUUCCUCAAUCUCCA